rnacentral:lncRNA from 1 species
UAUAUAUAUAGCAAGAGUGAUCAAUGCUCUCCUAAGCAACUAAACAACUAGGGCUUAUACAAUAGAGUAAAUUACAAAAACUUUUUUAAGAUUAGAAAUAAAUUAUACUUGCACCCAAAAAUCUAUAUUUAUCCUCUAAGAUUUUUUUUAUUAAAUAUUUUAACUCAUAAUUGAACAGAACAUUAGUCAAACCGUUAACUUUAAUAGGACCCAAGUGCCACGUCUGAAAGAAUUUUAAAAUAACUAAAAUAACCUUACAAAAACCCACUUAAGAAUUACGUUUAUUCCACUUUCACCUAAUAUUUUGUAAAACCUACAGUUACACCCAGUCAAAUUGACAACGUUAGCCAUUUAUCUAUUGUAAAAAGUCAAAAUUAUCCUUAUAAGAAAAUAUGACUCUUCUUUCAUUUUUUCGACUCCCCAAUCUUUUUGAAUUCUUCCGUCUUUAAGAGUCUUCUUUUCUUCGAGAUUGAAUGGCUAGGAUUUUUUCUCGCUUUGCCAUAUCCCACCACGAGCGUCCCUUCCCAAUGAGUGACCCAUGACAAGCUUCCUAACCAGCAUCCAGCAACAAACAUCCUUAAUUUUUG